CACGCCGACGUGGCGAUAACUGUAGAUGUUUAUCACCUUGUGUUUUUAUUAGGAUAUCUAUUCUUGGUUCCAAAUUGACCUUAUAUGAGGUAUUUAUAAUAGAACAACUUUCAUAUGUCAUUAUACAUCUAUACAGACAUGUGGAAGUGGUGGGUUUUCCAGGACCUUGUUUCUACUUAUUUCCUUGUCCGGAAAAAAAAAAAAACACUGCUGUCCAUGUCCAAAAUCGGUAUAUCUAUGUCGACAUUGCAUUGUCGCAACAUUGUUUUUUGGUUACAUUGACUGCUCCUCUUUAUAUCCUGGAUUGUUUAAAUUGUGUAAGAUUUGUUCUAAUGGAAUGCUUUACUCUUUUUACUCUUUUAGGCUUGUCUUCUUUUAGUGAUUUGAUUAGUCUUUAAAAGAUAUUCAGGGAUUAAGUACCCGAGAAAGUGCAAAAAGGUGACAUGUUUAUCUUAUUUGCAACAAGCAACAUAAUUGCUUAUCAUUUAUUUGUCCAAUGAAAUGCAUUCAUGAAUAUUGAAAUCUUUUCAGUUACUUGCAACAGGAAUGACAGAAUUCUGAAAAUAAGAUCAAGAUUGUGCUUUGUUGACCAUCAAGAGUAUACCUGUGUUGAUACCCAAUACAACUGUCUCACGGAAAGUCAAAACUUGAAACACAUGUUGGUGAUCCAAGCCCUUCUACACACCAUCGUCAUGAUGAAUGUGUCUUCACCUACUAUCAGUUUUGUCCAUUCAUCAAAUGAGCCACACUUCUAUUAUGAAAAUGCAUGCAGUUUUGUCCAUUCAUUAGGUGAGCCACUCUUCUAUUGAGAAAAUGGAUGCAGUUUUGUCCAUUCAUUAGGUGAGCCACACUUCUAUUGAGAAAAUGGAUGCAGUUUUGUCCAUUCAUUAGGUGAGCCACACUUCUAUUGAGAAAAUGGAUGCUUAAAAGAUCGAUAAGAUGAUAACCAAUGGUACAUGAGUGGACCACUCAUUGACCAUGUUAGUGGACUGACCGAACUUUUACACUAGGACACUUUCACCAAGGGGUAGACCUGAUGAAUGGAAUGGAUCUCACACGCGUAUGCCACACUGGCACACGUGAGAGCCCUUAUAUUUGUCCUCUGUAGAAGUGCAUUCACAAGGACUAACUCCUUCAAAUGAUUUGCAAAAUUGGUUAUAGCUUUUGCAAGAAAUGCUCACUGAUGAGAAGUAUAGAUUGAGCUGUUGAACCGUGCCAAGAAAUGUCAAUAAUGCAGCCCAAUUCAGAGUAAUGGAAGAAUCUCUGAUGAAAUCUCUUUAUUCACAUUGAGAACACUAGAGACAUCACUGUUGGCAGGUAUCCAAUCAUGGUGAUAUAUGGGAGCUAGUGAAGAUCUCAACUUUUCGAUGGCUCAAUGAGAUGGCGCAUACUUGAAUUUCAGAUACAGGUCGAAUCUUGAUCUCCAAUCUUCCUAUGGAUGACCUGGCUACAAUUUUUCACCUUCCAACAAAUACCAUUCUAUGAACGGAUUCGACCAAACUUCCAUCCAAUACAACAGCUUGGAUUAGAGAAGCCAGACCUGGUACCUUUCAUCCCUUCCAUGUUCAAGUAUUUGAGGGAAAGGGGGAUGAAAGUCGAAGUAAAGGUUGUCUACUUUGCAAUUGAGGCUUUGUGGUUUACUCCAUUCAUGGAUGUGGCCCACUAGACUGCAUGGACAAACAAUCAAGACCACCAUCCCUCUGCUCACCCCUACCAUUGUGAGUGAUUGUACAGAAGACAGAGAAUCUGUGCUACCUGAUUUCAGUUGCAUAGUCAGAUUAUGAAGACCAGCAUCUACACACACCUACUGUUUGUUGGUGAUUGUACAAAAAACAUGCAGAUAGGAGAAUCCUAGCUGCCCAAUUUUCUCCGUUGAAUGUGAUAUUUAUACAGUUCGUACAAAAAUGGCUGAUUUUUGUCAUCACCCAUUUGCUUGAAGGCUCUUACUCAAACGGAUAGGAUUGUCCAAUUGAUGUGA